AGCCCAGAGGUGUUUAACAUAUUAGAUUGCAAACCUAAAGAAGCAAGCUAGACGUUUGCCUGGGCUU
rnacentral:tRNA from 1 species